AACUCAAGAGAAAUGUUUUCAAUUAUUUAUUCUAUAAAUUUUGAAAACCCGGCUAAGUGAAUCAUAGAAUGUUAAGUACUUUACCGUGACUUAAGAUUAGAUUCAAGGAGACCUAUUAAGAAUAGAUUUCUUGUAGGCUUUGAACGUCAGGAGGAUUAGCACUGCUAUUCCGAUUCAGAGAUAAGGUUAAACGACAGGCUUUGCCUAUACAGGUUGGCUGGCUGGUGCUGACGGGACGGAGCUGAGGCUAGAGAUAAAUUCCUAUGUUAGACUUCCGCUGUAGCAAUUACUCAUAUCAGUCUUUUGUUUUCCCAAACUUAAGAUCUUCAUGUUAAAUUUCAAAUGAUAUACCUGACCGAGCUUAGACUCGUCACUACUAAAUUUAUGCUAAUGAAUGUCGGUUGUCAGAAGCAUGAAACAAAACUUGUGAUCCAAAGGGGCAUAGCCCGACUUUCUAUCCUAUUUCGGUUUUUAACAAGGUUUUUCCCCUGUUUAUUUCUAUGAAUUAUUCACACCUCGAUUAUAUUUA